CCUACGGGGGGCAGCAGUGGGGAAUUUUGGACAAUGGGGGCAACCCUGAUCCAGCCAUUCCGCGUGAGUGAAGAAGGCCUUCGGGUUGUAAAGCUCUUUCGGCAGGAACGAAACGGCGAGCUCUAACAUAGCUCGCUAAUGACGGUACCUGAAGAAGAAGCACCGGCUAACUACGUGCCAGCAGCCGCGGUAAUACGUAGGGUGCGAGCGUUAAUCGGAAUUACUGGGCGUAAAGCGUGCGCAGGCGGUUGUGUAAGACAGGUGUGAAAUCCCCGGGCUUAACCUGGGAACUGCGCUUGUGACUGCACGACUAGAGUAUGGCAGAGGGGGGUGGAAUUCCACGUGUAGCAGUGAAAUGCGUAGAGAUGUGGAGGAACACCGAUGGCGAAGGCAGCCCCCUGGGCCAAUACUGACGCUCAUGCACGAAAGCGUGGGGAGCAAACAGGAUUAGAUACCCGGGUAGUC
rnacentral:rRNA from 1 species